UUUUAAGUGAACUGGUUUUGACACAUAGUAAGUGUUUAUUAUGCACAAAAUCUUGUCAGAGGAGUACUAAGUUCAAGUACUGAUUAGAGCCUGUCUGUUUUCCUCUUGUUACUUAGUUUUGCAAAGAGAAUAAGGGUUACAGUUCCAUGCACAGGAACAGACUAGAAAGCUGCAGUAAGAUUGCUUUUGCUGCUAGCACUGACAGGGCUUCCAUUUCUCCCUUCAAAAUCUUCUGAGUGCUUUGAAGUGAAACCUUCCAAAGGUCAGAAAUCAAGAUCCGACUCCCAGAACUUAUGAAUCUGCUAAUAUGUGAGAAAGCUCCAUAACUCCUUGUCCUCAUUAAAGUUUUACCUAAACUUAGCUAACUCACUGCUCAUUUAUACCAAGACCUUUUUCCACUUUUCCUAGGAGGCAGAACUGCUGAAGGGGCUGGGGUCUCCAGGGUCUUUCCAUUUUCUGGCUGUCUUGCACAGAUGUGGUGGUACCAAAUUAAGGAUGACCAGCAACUGGUCUCUGCAGCUCAGCGCUGAAGCCACUUUGUCCUGCUGUGAAUAGUGACACUCUCUGCAGCUGUGAUGGGCAUGGAAGGAAGGAAGAUGCAGUUUUGAAGCCUUAUCUUCCAUCAGGAGGUCAUCAAAGAGUGCUGCCCAGACAAAACUACUGUGAGACCAGUGGAUCUAGUGUCCCUCAACUCUCAAAACCUGUGCU
rnacentral:lncRNA from 13 species